AGGCGCUCUAGACAUGGGGGUGGGCAUCAGGCUAGGAGGAGCCCUAGGGAUGGUGCAGCCACCAUGGCUGCUCCAACCCUUGUUCCUGCUGCAACCCCUGACCCUGGCCCUGUCCCCCACUUGCUGGCCCUGAGGCUCAGCCUCAGCUUGGACCACCCUCAGCAGGACAGAGCCUGCCUGGUCUGCACAGCAGGCUCCCUCCUGUGUCUGCUGGGGCUGGGGGAGCUCAGCCCUGCUCAGAGUCACAGGACACAAGAGAGCCAGGCAGUGGGGAAGGAGCACAUGCAGGAACUCCUGGAUGUGGUCCCGGGGCAUCUUCAACACGGGCUCUAGACAUGGGGGUGGGUGUCAGGCUGGGAGGCACCAUUUUUUGGGGUUGGGGAUGAAACGGGAUUCGCAAUGCCCCUAAGCUGGCCAAGAACUCAGAAAACUUGUCCCUCCCCUAGGUUCUGCUCACCCGGGCCAAGCAUGGGACCCCCCCCCAACUCCUCCAUCCCCAGCACCCAGGCCUCUGUGGGCCCUGAGGACUUACUUCGGUGGACCUUGAGGACGGUGUACACCAUGCCGCUGUUUGCUGGGAGAUGCAGGAAGCCCACGAGUGCAGAACUUGAGGUGAAAAAUGGCUGUACCUGACGAUAGUGCCAAGUGCGGAGGCAGUGCACAACCUUAGCGGUGAUGUUCAGAGGCAGAGCUGAGGCCAGCGAGAGGCAGAAUCGGGAGCUUGCACCCCAGACAACUAGGCUCAGAAGGAACAAAGAUGAACACAAGAUGCUGUCAUGGAACUCUGAUGUCUGCCCUGGACAAGAGGCAGAGGAAAAGUGUUGUCCUGAGGUCUAGAACUGUGCUGAGAGAAUAAUUCAAGUACAAGUAUCUGCAUUUCCUGAGGUAGGGUGGGGAAGGUAUACAGGAGAAGACUGUUGAGUGUUUUGUGCCUUUCAUGAUCCCAAACCUUACCUAUCAUCUUAUGCUCUACUGGUAAUAUGCAUGCUAUAAGUAAGCAACCUAAUUCAGUAUCAUUUUCACUGACCAUUGGAGAAUUCUUUGAUAUUGCUAUCUUGUGUUCCCCCUACUGUAAUUUAAGAACAUUUUAAACCAAUUUCCUCUUGUUUGGUUCUAAACAGAGAAGAAUAGCCAAUUAGCAGUUUCUAAGAAACAAUUCAUUAGAUUUCCUUUCCCCAUGCUGAAUAAUAGUGUGUCACUUUGUUUUCCUUUAUGUCUUUUUUUUAACUUUUAUUUAAUGAAUAUAAAUUUCCAAAGUACAGCUUAUGGAUUACAAUGGCUUCCCCCCAUAACGUCCCUCCCACCCGCAACCCUCCCCUUUCCCACUCCCUCUCCCCUUCCAUUCACAUGAGGAUUCAUUUUCGAUUCUCUUUAUAUACAGAAGAUCAGUUUAGCAUAUAUUAAGUAAAGAUUUCAACAGUUUGCUCCUACACAGAAACAUAAAGUGAAAAAUAAUAGAAGAUUUUUUAAAUGAUGAUGAAAUCAGAUCAGACCUAUUGUCAUGUUUAAUCCCAGUGAGAGUCAAGUUGGGAAUUGCUAAUUUCUUCAGAAAUAUAUCUUUUUUUUAACUUUUAUUUAAUAAAUAUAAAUUUUCAAAGUACAGCUUAUGCAUUGCAAUGGCUUUCCCCCUCCCAUAGCUUCCCUCCCACCUGUAACCCUCCUCCUUUAUGUCUUGACCAACAGUAAUUUCCUGCCUGUUUCUUAAGGAUGUUGAAAGGAUUCCCCAAUUAGUGUACAUAAGAUUUUUUUCCAUAGAAGAGAAUUAUUCUACAUAAACACAGAAUUUCAUCAAGAAUGGAAAUUAACAGG